rnacentral:rRNA from 1 species
CGCGUGCUACAAUGGAUAGGACAGAAAGACGCAAGACCGCGAGGUGGAGCAAAUCUUUAAACCUAUUCUCAGUUCGGAUUGGAGUCUGCAACUCGACUCCAUGAAGCUGGAAUCGCUAGUAAUCGCAGAUCAGCACGCUGCGGUGAAUACGUUCCCGGGCCUU